AGCGGGGUGGACCAGUAGUAGGUCGCGAGUCUCAUAAGCUCGAGGCCCUGGUGCAAUUCCAGGCCCCGCAA
rnacentral:tRNA from 1 species